rnacentral:rRNA from 1 species
CGGAGGUGGCGAGCGUUACUCGGAAUUAUUGGGUGUAAAGGGCAAGUAGGCGGUUUAUUAAGUGAGGGGUGAAAUCUUCCGACUCAAUCGGAAAACUGCCUUUCAAACUGAUAGACUUGAGUGUGGAAGAGGGAAAUGGAAUUCGCGGUGUAAGGGUGAAAUCUGUAGAUAUCGCGAAGAACACCAGCGGUGAAGACGGUUUCCUGGUCCAUAUCUGACGCUGAAUUGCGAAAGCUAGGGGAGCAAACAGAAUUAGAUACUCUGGUAGUCCUAGCCGUAAACGAUGAGCACUAGGUGUUGGGUCGUAAGACUCAGUGCCGCAGCUAACGCAUUAAGUGCUCCACCUGGGGACUACGGCCGCAAGGUUA